rnacentral:ncRNA from 1 species
AAAUAAACUGUGAUAAGAAAAGUAGAUUUGACGGACCUACCCAGAGAGACUAUGGUUGGUGGAAAUAGUUUAGAGAAAUCAGAUUGAAAAUGGCCUUUGAGUUUCUUACUUGAUAUUUAGAGUAAGACGUGUUCGCACGUUAUAGCGAUAGAGUAUGUUGGUACUCGAUGAGUUAUUAAUUGUGAGAUUAAUUUAAAUUUUAGGUGGUAACACGUGGCAGAGCCUCGUCCUUUAU